AAAUAUGUUGAAUAAAACUGGCGAGAGUGGGCAUUCUUAUCUUCUUCCUGAUCUUAGAGGAAAUGCUUUCAGUUUUCACCAUUGAGUAUGAUAUUAGCUAUGGGUUUUUCAUAGAUGGCCUUUAUUACAUUGAGGGCUGAAGUGUAAAAGC